UACGUAGGUGGCGAGCGUUGUCCGGAUUACUGGGCGUAAAGAGCGCGCAGGCGGUCGUGCAAGUCGCGUGUGAAAGCCCCGGCUCAACUGGGAGGGUCACGCGAUACUGUUCGACUCGAAGGCAGGAGAGGGAAGUGGAAUUCCCGGUGUAGUGGUGAAAUGCGUAGAUAUCGGAGGAACACCAGUGGCGAAGGCGACUACCUGCCUGUUCUUGACGCUGAGGCGCGAAAGCUAGGGAGCAACAG
rnacentral:rRNA from 1 species